GUGGGCAUUGCUGAUGAGCGCUGAAUUCGCUGCUCGCAACGCCGCAUCGCUGAAAUGCUUUUGACCACGGAUGUACUGGCACUGGUAAGAAGGCGAUGAUGAGGAACGUCGGUGCGGUUUCGCCCUACGACUCGUU
rnacentral:sRNA from 1 species